UGAGGAAUUUUGCACAAUGGGCGCAAGCCUGAUGCAGCGAUGCCGCGUGCGGGAUGAAGGGGCUCUGCCUUGUAAACCGCUGUCGGGAGGGAGGAAUAAAGCCAUGAGGCUUUUGGACAGUACCUCUAGAGGAAGGAUCGGCUAACUACGUGCCAGCAGCCGCGGUAAUACGUAGGAUCCAAGCGUUGUCCGGAAUUACUGGGCAUAAAGGGUGCGUAGGCGGGUUCGCGCGUCAGAGGUAAAAUGCAACGGCUUAACCGUUGAACUGCCUUUGAAACGGCGGAUCUUGAGUAUGAGAGAGGCGAGCGGAAUUCCUGGUGUAGCGGUGAAAUGCGUAGAUAUCAGGAGGAACACCGGCGGCGAAGGCGGCUCGCUGGCUCAUUACUGACGCUGAGGCACG
rnacentral:rRNA from 1 species